UCCCUGGUGGUCCAGUGGUUAAGACUCUGCACUCACAAUGCAGAGGGUCUUGGUUCUAUCCCUGGUCAGGGAA